UGAAAAUGAGUAGGCGACACAAGUUUCUGU
rnacentral:piRNA from 1 species